rnacentral:lncRNA from 1 species
GAGACGCACCGUUACCACCAUGGGAGCGGGAGUGGUUCGUGUUGACAUGUAGGGCGGCGGUUGUCCAGAUCUCCAGUGAACACUCGGCCUCGCCGCUGUCCUGGAGAGAAGAAGAUGGAUGGAAACGUUUUGGUUGCUCUGUCAGGUACUCGGGCAUCUGUUUGAUGAGUAAAACGGCAGAAUGUAAAGCCAUAUUGUCUGUGAGUGGCGGGCGAUGCGCAGCAUCUGUUCGAUGGAAUGUUCGAGAGAGAUAUAAAUUCACCGGAGUUCAGUCGUCUUGGCAUUUCUCGCUGGCAGAUGAGAUUGAGACGGGCGUCGAGCCGGUGGUGGUGAUGCCACGACGUACCCAGUAUUCACUAUGGCGGCAAAUCCACUCCCUUCUUGAUCCCAUUUGCCUUGAAUUUACUUGGUUCUUGUUCGGUACAAUACCUAGAUAAGGGGAAUUUUUGGAAUGUGAAACGUUUUCCACAUGCUGAUGCCUUUAUAUAAUGUUAAAAAAAAA